rnacentral:rRNA from 1 species
CGCCUUUUUAACAAAAACAUGUCCUUUUGAAUAUAUUUAAGGUCUAACCUGCCCAAUGAGGAUUUAAAUGGCCGCAGUAUUUUGACUGUGCAAAGGUAGCAUAAUUAUUAGUUUUUUAAUUGAAAGCUUGUAUGAAGGGUUGGACGAGAUAAAAUCUGUCUCUAUUUAGAUUAAAGUAGAAUUUAACUUUUAAGUCAAAAGGCUUAAAUAUUUAUAAAAGACGAGAAGACCCUAUAGAUCUUUAUUUAAAUUAAAUUUUAAUAAUUUAGGAUUAUUUUAAUUUAAAUUUUAGUUUAAAUUUUAUUGGGGUAAUAUAAAGAUUAAAUAAAUUCUUUUUAUUUAUAACAUUAAUUUAUGAAUUUAUGAUCCACUAUUAGUGAUUAAAAGAUUAAGUUACCUUAGGGAUAACAGCGUAAUUUUUUUGGAGAGCUCAUAUCGAUAAAAAAGUUUGCGA